rnacentral:rRNA from 1 species
AGAGUUUGAUCAUGGCUCAGGAUGAACGCUAGCGGCAGGCUUAAUACAUGCAAGUCGUGGGGCAGCAUGGGGUAGCAAUACUCUGAUGGCGACCGGCAAACGGGUGCGGAACACGUACGCAACCUUCCCAAAACUGGUGAAUAGCCCUCCGAAAGGAGGAUUAAUACACCGUAACAUAAUGAAGUGGCAUCACUUUAUUAUUAUAGCUCCGGCGGUUUUGGAUGGGCGUGCGCCUGAUUAGGUAGUUGGCGGGGUAACGGCCCACCAAGCCUGCGAUCAGUAACUGGUGUGAGAGCACGACCAGUCACACGGGCACUGAGACACGGGCCCGACUCCUACGGGAGGCAGCAGUAAGGGAUAUUGGUCAAUGGACGCAAGUCUGAACCAGCCAUGCCGCGUGCAGGAUGAAGGCCCUCUGGGUUGUAAACUGCUUUUAUCUGGGACGAAAAACGGGAAUUCUUUCUCGCCUGACAGUACCAGAGGAAUAAGCACCGGCUAACUCCGUGCCAGCAGCCGCGGUAAUACGGAGGGUGCAAGCGUUAUCCGGAUUUACUGGGUUUAAAGGGUGCGUAGGUGGGCAGGUAAGUCAGUGGUGAAAUCUCCGGGCUUAACUCGGAAACUGCCAUUGAUACUAUCUGUCUUGAAUCAUCUGGAGGUAAGCGGAAUAUGUCAUGUAGCGGUGAAAUGCUUAGAUAUGACAUAGAACACCCAUUGCGAAGGCAGCUUACUACGGAUGCAUUGACACUGAGGCACGAAAGCGUGGGGAUCAAACAGGAUUAGAUACCCUAGUAGUCC